UUAUUAUUUAUAUUUUAUUGUGUUGCAUACGAGUGAGCCCUGUAGUUGAUAACUAUUACUUCUGUAGUGUGCUGUAUUAAUAAAGUUUUUUUUAGUUUAUUUUCUGCGAUUUGGAAAUUUCCUACAUCAUGUCUAUCGUUGCUAUGUGUUUGUUGAGGAAAAUCAGCUAUUGUAGGAUUAAUUUUGUUCUGAAGAGGAACCUGUCCAGUAAUCCCAUAGUGAGGGUCGAGCAAGGUAAACUGAAAGGUUCAACACAUAAUCUAUUAGAUGGAUCACCAUAUUAUAGCUUCAAAGGCAUACCUUAUGCACAGCCACCUGUUGGGGAGCUGAGAUUUAAGGCUCCAUUACCUCCCAAGUCUUGGGAAGGUGUCUGUGAAGUAAUAAAACAUGGCCCAGUAUGCCCUCAAUUUGACACAUUAACUUCCCAACGGAUUGAAGGAAAUGAAGAUUGUUUAUUUCUCAAUGUAUACACAAAAUCACUUGCACCGAGUGAUAAAUUACCUGUUAUGGUAUUUAUCCAUGGUGGUGCUUAUUUGCAGGGAUCAGGUAAUUCAGAUGUGUAUGGUCCAGAUUUUCUCUUGCAACAUGAUGUUAUAUUAGUAACACUAAACUACAGGCUUGAUCUACUAGGUUUCUUAAAUCUAGAUAUCCCUGAAGUAUCAGGAAAUGCAGGUCUCAAAGAUCAAGUUGCAGCCCUUAAAUGGAUAAAAAGCAAUAUUGAUAAAUUUGGUGGCGAUCCAAACAAUAUAACCCUCUUUGGUGAAAGUUCAGGUGGAGUGUCAGUAACAUGCCAUUUAAUUUCACCAAUGUCAAAUGGCUUAUUUAGCAAAGCUAUAGCACAAAGUGGAACAUGUUUAGAUGACUGGGUGAUCAAUAGAGAUGCAAAAUCGACAGCUUUUAGAGUUGGCAAAAUAUUAGGAAAACAUACUGAUAAUCCUAAAGAAUUAUUAAAAUUUCUUCAAAGUGUCCCUGCGACUGAUCUUUUGGGACUUACGUUUAAAAUCAUAACCGAAGAAGAGAAAAACCGAGGGUUACCUUUACUUUUUACUCCUGUAAUUGAGAAGAAGUUUGAUAAUGUGGAGUCUUUUUUAUCUGUGGAUCCACUUGACGCUCUAGUUACCGGAGAUAUCGGUAAAGUUCCAAUAAUAACAGGUUAUAAUUCAUCAGAAUCCAUAAGUAUGAUUGGAGUCAUACGAAAGAAAGCAAACUUUAGAAGUAAACAUCCAGAAUAUCUUGUUCCCAAAGAAAUUAUGUACAAAGUAUCUACUGAGAAAAUGAAGGAGUUUGGAGCACGUAUUAAGAGGUUUUAUGUGGGUGACAAAGACUUUACUGCUGAAGUGAUAGAAGCACAAAUAGAUAUGUUAUCUGAUAUAUAUUACACAUAUAAUAAUAGUAGAUUUGUACAUUUGUAUAGUAAGUCAGACCAACCAAUUUACCAAUAUGUGCUUGAUUACGAUACUGAUUUAAAUUCUUUUAAGAAACUGUUUGGGAUGUCGCAUGUGAAAGGGAUGUGCCAUACAGAAGACCUAUUGUACCUAUUUUCUAGUAAAUCCACCAAGGAGCUAUACAAAGAGCAGGAAAGAGUUAGAGAAUUGGUGUUUACACUCACAAAGUUAUGGACUAACUUCGCUAAAACUAGCAUAUUCAACGCCGUACGCAGUAGACAAGCGUUUCAGCGGACAUAGCACGCUAUGACGGCUUUUCUCAUUCUUACGACGCCUUACGCGGCUGAUAGAAGCAGAGCUGUAUAAGUGUGACCAAAAUCGUUCAACGAAACGCGAAUGGAGCUGAAUAAGUUGAUCCAACGCCAGAUCAGAGCCUCGGCGUGAAGUGGAAGCCGUAUACAACAUUGGGCGAGGAAUACUUACACAUUGCAGAGCCCCUGACGCUGGGGCAUGCCGCCAACCGAGAGAGAAUCGCAUUCUGGAACCAACUGUACUGUGAAGCGGGACUCCCACACAUUGACACUCACAAAAGUUGAAGGUCCUCUUAAGAUCCCUGUAGGAGUAAACAAUGUAGAUUGCUUUAAACAUUAUUAGAAAUUUGAUCAAGA
rnacentral:misc_RNA from 1 species